rnacentral:lncRNA from 1 species
UCAUCCAAAGACACCACAUCAUCUACACAACUCUCCACCCUUCACCAUAACUCACCUAUAUCCAUCCACCACCACAAGAGACCAUCCAUUCACCACUCACACCUUGGUGCUGCAUAUUUGCAAGGAAGGAGGAUUGCUUGGAGUUGUGCUAGUCAUUCAAUUUGGAUUGCUGGAGCAUUCUAGGUGUAUUCUACUUUGGUUUUCAAUGUUUAAUUUCAAUUGUUUAUGUUUAAUUGCAAGUAUGAGG